rnacentral:rRNA from 1 species
AUUGAACGCUGGCGGCAGGCCUAACACAUGCAAGUCGAGCGGAUGAAGGGAGCUUGCUCCUGGAUUCAGCGGCGGACGGGUGAGUAAUGCCUAGGAAUCUGCCUGGUAGUGGGGGAUAACGUCCGGAAACGGGCGCUAAUACCGCAUACGUCCUGAGGGAGAAAGUGGGGGAUCUUCGGACCUCACGCUAUCAGAUGAGCCUAGGUCGGAUUAGCUAGUUGGUGGGGUAAAGGCCUACCAAGGCGACGAUCCGUAACUGGUCUGAGAGGAUGAUCAGUCACACUGGAACUGAGACACGGUCCAGACUCCUACGGGAGGCAGCAGUGGGGAAUAGUGGACAAGGGGCGAAAGCCUGAUCCAGCCAUGCCGCGUGUGUGAAGAAGGUCUUCGGAUUGUAAAGCACUUUAAGUUGGGAGGAAGGGCAGUAAGUUAAUACCGUGCUGUUUUGACGUUACCAACAGAAUAAGCACCGGCUAACUUCG